AAAAAAAUAAAUAACUUUAUAUGAUUUCAAAAAGCAUCAUUAUAAUCAAGUUGUGGUGAUAUUAUAUACAAUAUUUUCAUCUCAAAAGUGAUAAUCAAACCAAACAAACAAAUAAUAAGAAAAUAAAAUUUGAUAACAAUUUGUGGCCAAACAAACAAAAAAAGUUAUGAAUUAUCGGCAAAAAUAUCAGCAAAAAUCGUUUUGCAAGAAAUGUCACAAACAAUCGUGCAAUUCAUGCGAAACACAUCAAUUGAUGGAAAACAUUGGGAACAGUAGAUUCACGACAUGGGAUGUCAUACAGAAAUCUAUUAAUAAUAAUAAUAAUAAUUUCAAUGAUCGCAAAAACAACAACUACAAUACCCACCAAACCAGCACUGGUAGGGAGGGGUCGACACCAACCACCCAAACAGUGGCCGACAAUAAUAAUCGCUGGGAUUUUAUGGCUAUGCGAUCGCCAUAUAUACCCUGUAAUGAAGGAUAUCCUCUGAAAGUGUUGUAUCGCUAAAACAUAUAAUAAUAAUAAUAA